UUAAGACCCAACGUUUCGACACUCCAUUCUAGUGUCUUCAUCAGGGGUGAUCUAAAGAUGCAAUCGUGGCUUCUUAAAUACCCAAGGGAUGACGUCCCCUGCCAAUGAGAUUCAUGUAUUCCUCUCGUGCAUGUAUCUUAUUGGCAGGUGACAUCAUGAAGACACUAGACUGAAGUGUCGAAACGUUGGGUCUUGAUUUACAAUUCAACUGGGCUUUGUAAUC